rnacentral:rRNA from 1 species
UACGAAGGGUGCAAACGUUGCUCGGAAUUAUUGGGCGUAAAGCGCACGUAGGCGGUUUGGAAAGUCGGAUGUGAAAUCCCUCAGCUCAACUGAGGAAGUGCAUCCGAAACCUCCAGACUUAAGUACUUAAGAGGAUCGCGGAAUUCCCGGUGUAGAGGUGAAAUUCGUAGAUAUCGGGAGGAACACCAGUGGCGAAGGCGGCGAUCUGGGAAGAUACUGACGCUGAGGUGCGAAAGCGUGGGGAGCAAACAGG